rnacentral:rRNA from 1 species
GACGAACGCUGGCGGCGUGCUUAACACAUGCAAGUCGAACGAUGAACCGGGUGCUUGCACUUGGGGAUUAGUGGCGAACGGGUGAGUAACACGUGAGUAACCUGCCCUGGACUCUGGGAUAACCCCGAGAAAUCGGAGCUAAUACCGGAUAGGACCUUUCCUCGCAUGAGGUUUGGUGGAAAGUUUUUCGGUCUGGGAUGGACUCGCGGCCUAUCAGCUUGUUGGUGAGGUAAUGGCUCACCAAGGCGUCGACGGGUAGCCGGCCUGAGAGGGUGACCGGCCACACUGGGACUGAGACACGGCCCAGACUCCUACGGGAGGCAGCAGUGGGGAAUAUUGCACAAUGGGCGCAAGCCUGAUGCAGCAACGCCGCGUGCGGGAUGACGGCCUUCGGGUUGUAAACCGCUUUUAGUAGGGAAGAAGGGCUUCGGCUUGACGGUACCUGCAGAAAAAGGACCGGCUAACUACGUGCCAGCAGCCGCGGUAAUAC